rnacentral:rRNA from 1 species
CAGGUAACAUCAAAUCGUACCCCAAACCGACACAGGUGGUCAGGUAGAGAAUACCAAGGCGCUUGAGAGAACUCGGGUGAAGGAACUAGGCAAAAUGGUGCCGUAACUUCGGGAGAAGGCACGCUGAUAUGUAGGUGAAGCGACUUGCUCGUGGAGCUGAAAUCAGUCGAAGAUACCAGCUGGCUGCAACUGUUUAUUAAAAACACAGCACUGUGCAAACACGAAAGUGGACGUAUACGGUGUGACGCCUGCCCGGUGCCGGAAGGUUAAUUGAUGGGGUUAGCGGUAACGCGAAGCUCUUGAUCGAAGCCCCGGUAAACGGCGGCCGUAACUAUAACGGUCCUAAGGUAGCGAAAUUCCUUGUCGGGUAAGUUCCGACCUGCACGAAUGGCGUAAUGAUGGCCAGGCUGUCUCCACCCGAGACUCAGUGAAAUUGAACUCGCUGUGAAGAUGCAGUGUACCCGCGGCAAGACGGAAAGACCCCGUGAACCUUUACUAUAGCUUGACACUGAACAUUGAGCCUUGAUGUGUAGGAUAGGUGGGAGGCUUUGAAGUGUGGACGCCAGUCUGCAUGGAGCCGACCUUGAAAUACCACCCUUUAAUGUUUGAUGUUCUAACGUUGGCCCGUAAUCCGGGUUGCGGACAGUGUCUGGUGGGUAGUUUGACUGGGGCGGUCUCCUCCUAAAGAGUAACGGAGGAGCACGAAGGUUGGCUAAUCCUGGUCGGACAUCAGGAGGUUAGUGCAAUGGCAUAAGCCAGCUUGACUGCGAGCGUGACGGCGCGAGCAGGUGCGAAAGCAGGUCAUAGUGAUCCGGUGGUUCUGAAUGGAAGGGCCAUCGCUCAACGGAUAAAAGGUACUCCGGGGAUAACAGGCUGAUACCGCCCAAGAGUUCAUAUCGACGGCGGUGUUUGGCACCUCGAUGUCGGCUCAUCACAUCCUGGGGCUGAAGUAGGUCCCAAGGGUAUGGCUGUUCGCCAUUUAAAGUGGUACGCGAGCUGGGUUUAGAACGUCGUGAGACAGUUCGGUCCCUAUCUGCCGUGGGCGCUGGAGAACUGAGGGGGGCUGCUCCUAGUACGAGAGGACCGGAGUGGACGCAUCACUGGUGUUCGGGUUGUCAUGCCAAUGGCACUGCCCGGUAGCUAAAUGCGGAAGAGAUAAGUGCUGAAAGCAUCUAAGCACGAAACUUGCCCCGAGAUGAGUUCUCCCUGACUCCUUGAGGGUCCUGAAGGAACGUUGAAGACGACGACGUUGAUAGGCCGGGUGUGUAAGCGCAGCGAUGCGUUGAGCUAACCGGUACUAAUGAACCGUGAGGCUUAACCUUACAACGCCGAAG